UCUUAACAUAAGUAUUUGCUAUAAAUUCUUUGCGUCGAUGAUACAAUUGCUAAUGUUUAACAACAAAUUGGAAGAAUGAGGAUUCCAUUGAAAAAGGCUAUCUAUGUCUAUGACGCCACAUCAAGACCAUCUUCUGAUGGUUUAACACCAUUGAAGUAAUCCUCAAUCACAGAUUUUGUUGAAUCCAAGUCUCUUACAUAUUGACCACCUUUGAUAUAUUGUAAAGCCAGGUCUUUACAAAUGUUAGGAACAUUAUAUUCUUCCAAAUUAUUGAGCUUAGCAUGCAGAGAAUGAAUUUUGCAAUAACU
rnacentral:lncRNA from 1 species